AUAUGAUAAAUCAUGAUCCGUCGUAUAAUGUUGGGGAUAUGGCCCAAGAGUUUCUACCAGAGCACCGUAAAAGGCUCUGACUACGAGGAGGAUGGCUACUAGU
rnacentral:ncRNA from 2 species